CAGCUGGUGAUCGUUGGUCCCGG
rnacentral:piRNA from 1 species